GACGAACGCUGGCGGCGUGCUUAACACAUGCAAGUCGAACGGAAGGGCCCUGCUUUUGUGGGGUGCUCGAGUGGCGAACGGGUGAGUAACACGUGAGUAACCUGCCCUUGACUUUGGGAUAACUUCAGGAAACUGGGGCUAAUACCGGAUAGGAGCUCCUGCUGCAUGGUGGGGGUUGGAAAGUUUCGGCGGUUGGGGAUGGACUCGCGGCUUAUCAGCUUGUUGGUGGGGUAGUGGCUUACCAAGGCUUUGACGGGUAGCCGGCCUGAGAGGGUGACCGGCCACAUUGGGACUGAGAUACGGCCCAGACUCCUACGGGAGGCAGCAGUGGGGAAUAUUGCACAAUGGGCGGAAGCCUGAUGCAGCAACGCCGCGUGCGGGAUCACGGCCUUCGGGUUGUAAACCGCUUUCGCCUGUGACGAAGCGUGAGUGACGGUAAUGGGUAAAGAAGCACCGGCUAACUACGUG
rnacentral:rRNA from 1 species